GUCCACGCCCUAAACGAUGAUCACUCGAUGUGUGCGAUACACUGUACGCGUCUGAGCGAAAGCAUUAAGUGAUCCACCUGGUGAGUACGACCGCAAGGUUGAAACUCAAAGGAAUUGACGGGGGCCCCGCACAAGCGGAGGAGCAUGUGGUUUAAUUCGAUGAUACGCGAGGAACCUUACCAGGGCUUGAAAGUUAGUGAAGGAUGUGGAAACAUGUCCGUCAGCAAUGACACGAAACUAGGUGCUGCAUGGCUGUCGU
rnacentral:rRNA from 1 species